CCGGCCUGAGCCGUGGGUCCACCCGCGCCGCGCUCCACCCAGCUCCGCCGCGGCGUCCGCGAAGGGCCACUGAGCGUGACCUGGGGAGGCCAGAAGGCGCGCUCUGCUUUCGGGAACUGGAGCGAAGCGAGCGCCGGAGAGACGAUACUUAAGGUACAGGGAAAAACCAUUUCCUGGCACAUCUGAGUUGUAAUUCGAUCUUGAGUUACCGACGACAGUCAGGGGGCAAACAUGCUUCGUGCCACGAGUGAACUGGAGUUUUCGAACGAAAAAAAUACGGAGGAGAUCUCCCAGCUCGCUUCCCUGGUGCUGUCAGGUGACACAUCAACCGGCGAAAAAAACUCAACUGGUUUACCCGAAAAGACGGGCUAUCCGGACUCCGUUUACAUUAUGGCAGCAAACAUUUUUCAGGGUAUUCGAUUCGAAAAGUCGCCAGAGAAAGUCUUAAUAAAGUAUGGGAAUGAACCCCUGCGGUCCUUGCCGGAGUCUGAGGAUGAAUCCUUUCAGCGUUCGUCCUAUGAGCUGGCUUUCAGUGCUCUGAAGUUUCAAGAUAUUUUGGAAGCUAUAUUAAUAGACAGCUGUAUCUUCCCAAGUACCACAAUACCAGAUCAUUUGAGCAGUCUUAUUAUUGUGAUGCUGUAUGAUUUUCAAGAUAGAAAAUUUCAAGCUCGUUUCCUUUCUGAUAAUGAAGAACCCAUAGCAGAAGUUCAAGAAGUAGAGAACCUUCUUAACAGUUUUAAGAUAAAAUUGGCUGCAGCAUUGGCAAGAUGUCGAAUCAAACACGAUGCCCUUUCAAUUUACCACAUUCUUCCAGAAACAGUUAGGAACCAGGAACUAAGGGCCUCCACUUUGCCACUUUAUGCUUGGAUAAAUACUUGUAAAAUCAGCCCUGAAGAAGUUUAUUAUAGUUUGAAGAAAAGAGGCUAUAAUAAAGUCAAAUCUGUAUUGCAUAUUGAUGAUAAAGUCUUUGCUGUGGACCAACAUUGCUAUGAUGUCUUAAUUUUUCCAUCUCAUCUUAAAAAUAAUCUUCUAAAUAUAGAUCUUUUCAAAGAUUAUAAACUUAUAUUUCAGGACAAAUCUCGAAGUCUCGCUGUCCAUUCUGUAAAGGCUUUAUUAAAUAUGGAUGAUGAUAUCUUAAUGGUCAGUACAGGUUCAUGGUACACAGUUGCCCAUAUGUCAAUAUUAACAAAUAAUAAUACCUCAAAAAUAUUUGUGUGUGGAGUAAAAUCUCAAGCUAAGGAUCCUGACCUGAAGAACCUUUUUACAAAAAUGGGAUGUAAAAAUAUUGAAAUACUUCAUGAGGCAUUUCUGAACAUUGAAUCAAAGGAUCAUAGAUUGCAGAAAGUUAAAGUGAUUCUGCUGCUUCCUCGCUGCUCAGGACUGGGUGUUAGUAAUCCAGUGGAGUUUAUAUUAAAUGAGCAUGAAGAUACAGGUUUACUUAAAGAUUUCUCUCAAGGAGGUACAUCAGAAGAUAAACUUCACAUUCUUGUUCAACAGCAAUAUGAACAGCUAACACAUGCAAUGAAAUUUACUAAAGCUCAAGCAGUUGUUUAUUGCACGUGUUCAGUUUAUCCAGAAGAAAAUGAAGGUGUUGUUAAGAAAGCACUGGAAUUUCAAGACCAUGGGAUUAAAGUACAACCUUAUAGGCUUAGUCCUCCUGUCCUUCCCCUGUGCUCCUUAAAGGAAAUACAUUUGUCUACUGAUAAGUUUUUCAGAAUGGAACCAUCUGAAAUUACCAAUGGUUGUUUUCUUUCUGUUCUAACAAGGGAGCGGGACCCAUCUGAGGCAGUGUCUGUGAAAGAUGUUUUGGCCCGUGCUGCAGCAAAGGGUCUACUGGAUGGAAUUGAGUUGGGUAAAGCUUCAAAACGGGAGAAGAAGAAGAAGAAAUCAAAAAUACCAUUGUCAAAAGCCCCCACCAAUGAUAGUAAUGACAUCCAAAUGAAAAUUGCUGAAUUCCUGAAUCGAGAAAGUAAUGCAAAUGCUGAUCGGUCAGAGACAUUAGCAACAAAAACAUCUCUUCCACAGAAAAAUACAACUACAGCUGGUUCUUCCUCGCAUGUCAGAAAACCCAACAAGCCCACCAGCAAUCCUUUAGUGCCUACAUUUAUGAAGAACACAGCUCAACCCAGACCGUAUGAACGGCAGACAAACUUCGUAAGAUCUCGCCCAGAAGACAGAGUGAUGGCACUGAAACCUGUAGAGAUUGUUUUGCCUCCAGUAAUGUUGCCAUUUUCAGGUUCCCAAGGGAUCAAAUCUCAGAUACCAACUCAACAUUUUUACUAUCGUUGGGUUGGACCCAACACUGUCCUGCCCAACUACUUUCCCUCACCAUCAACAUCCAGAAGAGGGGAAAAGCCUAGAGAAAACUUACCUUCCUCCCUACUCAGGCAUCCUCAACCAUGGCUUUGACCAUCUUGUGUUUUUUACAGGGGUCAAGAGCAGUUCAUGUUUUUUCAAAGUCUGGUAUUUCUCUGAGGUUAGCCAUCCCUAUACAAGAUACUCAUUCUUUUGGCCACUUAGUAUCUUCUAAAGGUGCUAUGAACUUCAAGAGAAUUAAGACAAGUGAGAAAUAACAAUGUAGGCACUUCAACAAAAGCAGAAUUCCUACAUUUCAACAGCUCGGUGCUGAUCUGUUCUAGAAUGUCCAGCUUAGACUCAGGAUCAGCUGUUAGAACUUGUAUCCCUCUUGUUAACUUUCAGUCUGGAGUCAAGACACCAGUUUUAAGAGAAAGCUGCAACAAUUUUUCCAGACGGGAAACACUGUCUGCCUUAUAACAGACCUGAGGUGGUUUACUAGAGUGUAGAUACGGAAAAGAUGCUGGCCUCUCACACUGACUUUAUGUUGCUUUUUCAGUAUCCACCUGCGGUUUGACAUUUUCAAUCGCUGUGGAGGUUGAUUUUUUUCUUAAAUAUCAAAAUAUUCUUUAAACGGGGGGGGGGGUGUCAUGAGUUUUUGUGAUGUGAUUGAGAUUGAGUAGGAAGAACAGGAGGUUCCGAAGUUCCAGGUGUGCAUAGUUCAGAAGUACGUUAACAGAGCAAAAACGGUUUCUCAUCGAAAGAGCUUCUGGGAUCCUGAGCAGACUGAACACAAGCAGCUAUCCCUUCUGCCAAAUAUGGUUGUAAAAAAGUGUACACAAAUUUCCAUCCAAAUAGCAAUAAUUCUGAGGAAGAGGCAAAACUGUUGACUGCAAGUGACACCUGUUAUUGAAGAAAUCCAUAAAAAUGUCUGAUUCUGUUCAAAGAUCAGGUGAAAUGCUAAAAUCUACAAGUCAUUUCAAAUGGUAUACGGUAAUCAAACUGGUAAAUCAUCUCUGAUGCACAACUAAAAUAUAUUGUAGCACUAUGUUAAUUAUAUUAAAAGUCAAUUCAUCUUGAAUGUAUCAUCCAUUGCCUACCAAGAAUUGGUAUGAUUAUCAUUUUGGGGUCUAUUGAUUUUUUUUUUUUUUCAUCAUGGAAACAGAAAUUGUUUGACAUUUAAUCAAGUAAGUUACAACUAUGAAACCUAUUGUUUAAAAACAUGUUCAUAGACACAACGUUUGAAUAUAAAGUUCUAUUUUCAGAAUCUAGUCGUGUUGAACAGUGUUAUGUAAAUUCCUAAAUGUUCAAUUCAGGUGGCAUGAUUUCAGUAGAGUAUUAUCUUCCUCAAGAUGAAUUUUUAGGUCUAUUUCAGCCUAAUACCCUAUCCUUUAUUUUCUCACUUGAAGUGAGGCUAAACAAAAUGGCGAAUUUCAUUUUAUUGGUAAUGAAUCUUUAUUUUAGCUAAAAAUUUACAUAGAAUGUGUCAACGAAGAAAGGGAACAAGCCUUCGUAUACUUGGAAAUUUCAAUCGUCAAAGAUUUCUCAGUUACGACUCUCAGCAGGUCCAGAAGUGUUUUCAAUGCUCAGCUUAUUUUACUGACUGCAAAAGUAAAAAACGAUAGGUUUCUUUGUUCCGGAUAUGGCGUCUCUCCUCUUGCUCCGGCUUGGAACACUCUGUGCCCCGAGGGCACUAGUGCAGCUGCAGCGAACUUUGUUGGGUGAAGAGCUGGAGUGUUUUCCAGGGAAUCGCUCAUUCCCCCUGUGCUCUGCCCCUGCCCCAAGCUGCAAAGGAUGCCACGGUCCAUGAGUAGCAGGUCUCAGACCCUGAUUUUCUGUGAUGUUCUGAAAAGGAAACUCUCACUGUGAAGGAAUAGUUCAGGCUGUUUCCUGAGAAGCUUGUGAUUCGUGUCGCAUCACAAGUAACUGCCUCUAACAGAGUAAAAGAGAAACCAUGGGGCGGAAACGCAAGAGGAACCAGAAAAAUGGGUACAUACUCUACAUUCUGCUUCUCUUCCACGUCUGACGGUUGAACUAGGCCAGAUUCAACUGGUUUUUCUGGCUACCUUUGCUUUUGGAUUUAGUGCCUGUGCAACUUUAUUCUUCGUUCUUUGACGUCACACUCUUAAAGGAUACGAAAGAUAGACUUUCUUAACACUAGACUGCUUACCCAGGCCUUGCGUUGGUGACUCAGGAUGCCAGCGGUCCUUCCUGGUCACCAGAUAAGAGCAGGGUGAUGAAUUAAUUACUCAGAAUUUAAAGUUACUUUCUAGUUCUUAACCAGGUGGAAACCUGCAAUAGCAAAGCAGAAUAAUUUGAAAACAAAAUGACUAGCGUGGCGACACUGAACUUGUUAUUUCCAUUCCUGGAUCUAUAGGACUGAGAUGUCAGAUAAAUGAGCCAGACGUUUUAUGCAGCUAAGUUUAUUCUCACAACAUAUUACAUUUAAAUGUGUCAAAGUGGUCAACAGCAAACGGGGCCGAAAGCAAAACCAAACGUUCUUUCAGGAUAAACAAGCCGCUUUGGGUGGCAGGGAGUGCUCUCACUGAUCGGGUGUGAGUGGAAUCUUUUCUCUGAAGCUGAAAUAAAUUGAACUUCAUUUUACUGGCUGUAUAACACACACGUCAUCUGGGUAUCAGGUUAAGGAAGCCUGGCAAACUAGAGAGCUAAUGGUUUUACUGGCUACAUUGUGCUCGUCUCAGAGAGAUGUUUUUCAUGUUUGUGAAACCUUGAAUCUGUGUUGCAAUGCUUAAUGAAAUGCGUGUGUCAUACGAGAAAAGGAGGAAAGAUUUAGGGCUUUCGAGUAGGUGACCUUGUGUGGAAUCACCUUACCAAUCUCUACUCCGUCCUGAGAUCGGAGUGGCUCUUUGACAAAGUAGCGGUGCCAACAGUUUCUCACCAGGAACGAAUUUUAGCGGAGAUGGGUCUAAUGUCCCCUCAUGCAGUCAGACAGACACGAACGAACAACAGUGGUCCUAAUUAGCUACGGGUGGUCUUCUAUCCAGGUGAACAGAGGGCUUGUGGGCACGGGUCUGUCGCCUAGAGGAGAUGACAGGUGUUGGGAAGGACAUAAACACACAGCCCCAAGCGGUGCUUUAGGUUUGCCACAGGCGUGUUGGCUCUUCCCCUUGAGGCUGCCAAGAGGCGCAUAUAUGAGGUGGCCGGUCUGCGUCUAUCUAGCUGCUUUUAAAAAAUAAAAGGAACUUUAAGCAUGUUGCCAUUUCUUCUACAUAGUCCAAUAAAAAUGUGUCUACAAAUCAUUACAAAACCACCUUUUCGGCAACGUAUAGUUCACUGAGAUUACUUAGGCCUGGAUACCUUGUGAGAUACUAUCCAGUAAAGAGAAUACAUUAACACGAUAAUGCAGUAUAUUUCAGUAAAAAUAGAAUAAAUAAAAUAAAAAUAUCUUAAGCUGUAUUUAACAGGUUAAUUAAAAAAAUGAUAAGACAUACAAGGCAUAGUGAACAUGGCUGCCUGUUUACCGAGUCACAGAUACAAAGAAUGCAUAGAUAACUGAAUGUCACCACAAUAUCAGGUAAAACACCGGCAUCCGCACACAGGAAAAUACACACAUACUUUCAUACAUACUUUUUGGCCAUGGCAGAAAGUGUCUGAACGUACUGUUUAACAUAAUCAAUUUUACAAAAUUAAUUGCAUUUAGUAUGCAAAGCUAUUUUCAAAACAAAAUAUCUGCAGUAAAGUUUUCAAUAUGUAAAGGCUAUCGUUCGUCUUAAUGCAUCCUAUAAUUGCAUAUAUAAAUCAGUUUGCUACUUAAAGCUAGCUCAGUAUUCUUGAUCCUGAAAACAAACAAAUGUAUGCCUUAGAAAAUGAACGGUGGGUUCGGGUAGAGAUUUCCAAUAUAAAAGUGGAUGACCUGUUCAGAAUUUUUAUCACACUAAAACCUUUCAUUGUGGAGCUCGAGAUGAAACAUCAUCAUGAUUGAAUUUUGAACAGCUUUUCAAAGGGCACAGUAAGGACUUUCUUAAUGCAAUAAUUUCUUAUGAUGGCACUGGUUACUUCAGAUAGAAUAGCAUAUAGGCUGGUGAGAAGUAGAAUUCAUUUCUAGAGUGGCAUCAUUUUGGUCAUAACACCAGGGUGCUAGCAAACAGUUCCAGAGUUCUGAGGGAAUAGCAGAAGGCCACCUGCUCCAUCGUGUUCUCUGGUGGCUAAGUACCAUGAGUUAGGAAUGUGUCUAUCACAAGUAACAUCAUCUCUGGAAAACCUUGUAAGUUGAACAGGCCGCACAGCGUGUAGAAUCCUGUCCUCUACAACACACUUGAGGCACACUGCAGGAAAACAGUCCUGGACUGAGAGAGGGCGAUGGUUUUAUGAUUAGUAUCACUGCGUGAGUAAUUGGGACGUAUUUCCCGCCUUCUACAGGGAAUUCUAAGAUUUCCUGACAAUAACUAGAUAUGCCCAGAGUAAUUUUGGAAAGACUCUUCCUCACCGAUGUAAAAGCAGUGUAACUUAUAACAGAGUUGGGAAGCGUGGGCUCUUGUCCCGGCUCUCUCACAAACUUUCGAGAGAUCUUAGGCAAGGUGACUGAGCCUCUUGGUACUUUAUAUUUUUAUUUCUCAAAUGUGUUUAGUACCUUUCCCUACCUUGUAAGGCUCAAAUGUGGUAAGAAUGUGGAAACCAUUGACAAGUACACAGCAGUGGGUACAUAAAGUGCUCCUUUUGAAACCGGAUGUUCUUAACGCAUUAAUUUUGACAUAAAGAAGCAAAUAAGACUAAUAUUUAGAUUGGUCUCCUUAGCAACUUCCUUUUAAAACAACAAUGUCAACAAGAGUCUAAAUCUGAGUAUCUUUGUAAGUACGUGAGAAACGUGAAGCAGGAAACUGCUAUUUUGGGGAAACUUGUUAAGCAGUCCGUUGUUGCUAUGUUUAUUUUGCUCUGAUACGAAAUUUUUAAAUCUUGAAAAAAUGGAAAAGAUAUAAAUUUAAAAAUAUAUCUAGUAAAGUCCAACAAAUCCCAAUAUUAAAUACACAAAUUCAAAAGGUUCAAAUUUAAUGUAAUUUGUUGCCAUGGACAAUACAUGAUGGACAGACAGCUUUCUGGGCAAAAAGCAUUAGGGUGAGACUGAGCUAGAUACAGAAUCCUAGUGGGUUUCACUAGGAGGCGGACCAACAAAAUAAUGUGGUGGUGGAGAUCCAAAAUAUAAAUGACAUUUCCUCAACUCCAAAUUGCAUAUUGGCUAAUUAACAAACUAAGGAUAAAAGGCGUACGAGGAAGGUUUCAUUUUAAUGUUUAUGUAGAGAAUGGCCAGAGUGAACUAUAAUUCUCUAGCUGCACUGUACAAUAUAAGGCAGAAGUUUGAAACAUGUCCUACCCGAAAUGCAUUAGGAUUUUCUUAAAUCUUUCUUGUUUUUAAUCAUCAGUUUGAAAACCGUCUAGAAAGAAAGGCUCUUUUUUGUUCAAUUUUAAUCUCUCAAAUUUGGUUUGUUUUUCAAUUCUCAAGUUUCACUUUUUCCCCAACAUCCCACAAAACAGCUGCAGACAUGAAAUGGUGUCCAUGUGUCAAAGGGCUUGUCAAGGAAAGCUGCCGGUUGGUUUCUGUACUGAUGCCAACAGCCAAUUCUGUCAACCCAAAGGUUCAAUUUCAUGAAAGACUGCAACUAAAACCCAUCAUCCUAGUUUUACAGCAGUUCAAUGGUAUCUGGUACGCAGUGGCUACUCCAGUGUUGGCAACAGGGCCAAGUGCUGCAGGACUUAAACAUUGCUUGUGACAGAUCCAGUCAAGAAGACAGUGAAACUAACUCAGGCGUCAUUCACUCCAAGGACUCAGCGUUAGUUCACUAGGAGGGGUGUGGCCACAUUCUUCUCCGUGUGUGUGAAGUUAAUGUUCACGAUAUUUACAAUAAGAAAAAGACCUUCCACUGCUCAUGAUGUAUCUUACUGAUAGCAAAAAAAAUUAGUCAUGCUUCUUUUCAUAUCACAUGAUGGUGGCAAGACGAGAGAACAUGCUUGUCUAACACUGUUUGGUUAAGGAUAAAUUCUCUGAAGACAAAGCAUCAGCAACUGAAUGGAAGGCCAGAUAUCAGUUCAUCUUCUUUAGUGUAGCUAUUCAAUCUUCAGGUAACUAUUACAGAAUCCUGUAGCAUAUGCAGCUAUGGCGUUUCUGUGACAGGGCGUUUCUGUUUCAAAGUGUCAAUGAGGGAUAAGACCCCUCGUUUUACAUUGGUUGUGACUCUUCUGGUCACUGAGUCUGCUGGCGGAGGAGGUGGUCGAACUUUCUGUGAAGGCGGCCUGGCUACCAAGCACUUCUGGUAUCGUAACUGAAAUAAAACAAAAAUGUUUUAUGGUCGUUAA